UCAGCACACCGCUGCAGGGCUAAAGGGACUUGGGAAUUUGAUGUUUGAAGGGGAGGUGGUGCGCCAUUCCAAGUAAGUGGCUGUGAGGUCACCAUGGAAACCAUCACUCGAAUUUGGGUGUAUUUAAAAUCUCAAUUCAGCAUUUAAAAUCUGUAGUUUGCCUUUGAGAAACAUCCCAGGUUUUCAAAAAGCUUUGGGUAAGUGAGAGCAAGGGAUCAGAGGUGUUGAUUAGUCUGUUUACUUAGCUAAUAAAACUAAACUUUUUUUUAGGCACAGUAGUUGGUUUCUUUGCCAGGGUAAGCAGAAAAUUGGAUUCACUAUGUUUAGACAUGCCCUUUCAUUCAGGUCACAGUUGUACAUCCGUAAAUCUUUUUAUCAUAUUUAAUAUCUAUGCAGAUGCCAUGCGGCUACAUGUUUAUAUUACUCCUUCCUAAAAAAAAAGAGACACACUGAGUCAAGGAUGUGUUUGCCUGGCAUUCCAAUUUUUUAAUUGGGUCUUUUCCCAUAAACCUAGGUUGUUGUUUACAGCUUCUCGCUCUUUUAAAAAAACACCAUGGUAACCUGGAAAAGAAAACUUUUCACAAAAUCCAUUUUUCAUUAUUCCAUAGUCUGAAAAUUACAUUUAAAUUCGGAAAAAAAUGACUCUAAAUCAGAGGGUGUCAGUUUCACUGGCGUAUAAGCUUUCUUACUUGGUCCCAUUUUCCUUUUCCCAUCAUUCCUCAAGCAAGGAAGGUGGUCACCAAUUCACCAUUUCUCCCUUCAAGAGGCCUUGCCUUAUAAAAAUCCUUAUAAUCCUGUAUGCGUAGGGUAAUAUCCAAAAGGCAGGUGCAAAAGGCGAACUGACAUACACAUAAUCCAAAGAUUAGAAAGUCUCUGAAUAAUCAAAAAUUGGUGGAAAAUUGUGUACUGAGUUAAUGUAAUUAGAACAUACAUUUCAUUUCAAAUUGCCUAAUUUCUGAGCUUUGAGUUUGUACAUCGAAUUCUGUAAUGUAUGCAGAAGUAGUAAGUGCAAAGUCAUUAAAAUAUUGCUUGUGCUAAUUUUUUGUCUUUUGGUAUGCAAAAUUUAGAAAUUCCAUUCAAAAACAAACACUCUAGGAGUUCCCAUCCUGGCGCAGUGGAAAGGAAUCCGACUAGAGACCAUGAGACCAUGAGGUUCGAUCCCUGGCUUCCCUCAGUGGGUUAAGGAUUUGGCAUUGCCGUGAGCUGCUGUGUAGGUCAUAGAGUGGCUCAGAUCUGUCGUUGCUGUGGCUGUGGCGUAGGCUGACAGCUACAGCUUGGAUUACACCCCUAGCCUGGGAACCUCCAUAUACCAAAAGUACAGCCCUAACAGGACAAAAGACAAAAAAAAAAAAAAAAAAAAAAAAAAAAAAAAACCCUAAAAAAAAAUUUUUUUUUUUUUUUUUUUGGGACACACCACAGCACAUGGAGGUUCCCAGGCUAGGGGUCGAACUGGAGCUAUAGCUGCUGGCCUACACCACAGCCACAGCAACACAUGAUCUGAACCAUGUCUGUGACCUAGACCACAGCUCAUGGCAAUGCUGGAUCCUUAACCCACUGAGUGCAGCCAGGGAUCGAACCUGUGUCCUCAUGGAUGCUAGUCAGACUCGUUAAUGGUUGAGCCAUGGCAAGAACUCCUCUAAUGACAAUCUUGAUUCAUAUCAUGUGAAAAGGUAUUUUCUGAUUACCCAUUUGAUCUUGUCAAAAACACAUUAAUCCAUAGUCUAUUAAUAUGUAUCACUUUUCUAUCAUUAAAAGUUGUUUUGUUCUGAUACUCCUGAUUUCUAAUGGCAUGGCAGCAUUAUACACACUACCAAAUGCGGCUUGUCAUUAGUGGCUCAUAAUUGACAUCAUUACUCCAAACUCCUUUUCCUUUAAUAGGGUUUUAGCCAUAGGCACAUCCUCAACUUUACUUCAAGAAUUCUUACAAAUAUCUAUUGAAUGUCAUAAUUCACGUUUGCAGACCUAUAAUUGCAGGUUGGAGUGGUGUAUUUACAUCUCCAGAUUAAGGAAUAAAUAAUUAACAAUCUAUGAGUAAUGCC
rnacentral:lncRNA from 1 species